CUCAGGACGAACGCUGGCGGCGUGCCUAAUACAUGCAAGUCGAACGGUCUUUCUAUGGAAGCUUGCUUCCACUGAGAAGAUAGUGGCGAACGGGUGAGUAACACGUGGGUAACCUGCCCAUAAGAGGGGGAUAACAUCCGGAAACGGGUGCUAAUACCGCAUAGUUUUCUUGAUCGCAUGAUUGAGAAAGGAAAGACGGCCUUUGUGCUGUCGCUUAUGGAUGGACCCGCGGCGUAUUAGUUAGUUGGUGAGGUAACGGCUCACCAAGACGAUGAUACGUAGCCGACCUGAGAGGGUGAUCGGCCACAUUGGGACUGAGACACGGCCCAAACUCCUACGGGAGGCAGCAGUAGGGAAUCUUCCGCAAUGGACGAAAGUCUGACGGAGCAACGCCGCGUGAGUGAAAGAAGGUUUUCGGAUCGUAAAACUCUGUUGUUAGAGAAGAACAAGUUGGAGAGUAACUGCUCCAGCCUUGACGGUAUCUGACCAGAAAGCCACGGCUAACUACGUGCCAGCAGCCGC
rnacentral:rRNA from 1 species